CGGCUGCCGGCUCCCGCAUGCGGAGCGCGGGUUAGAGGCACCCCAGCGGGCAGGCUGUCCCCAACAUUGCAGGACGUGUUAGCCACAGUGUGGGGCUGGAGGCACGACAGGCGGAGCGAACCUCAGGCACGAGUCACCUUUUGUAUCGUCCAGCAGGUGGGACGGUGUUUUAAAUUGUGAAGCACGUGGGAUGCUUUUCAAAAUAAUUGUGUUUGGAAUCCCGCAGAGAAAAUUCUAAAGAAGUUGGAGCCAUCUAAAAUACAAACUUGCUCAUUCAGCAAACACUGGCAGAUGAGGUGUCCUUGGGGAACAGGAGGGGGUCUGCAAUGUUGUAUCUCCCAUCCAACCUGGCAUAGCCUUUUACAGCUUUGGAGUACGGGAAUGAAGAUGAUGGCCUCCUAAUCUCUGGCCUGGAGGAGCCCAGAGCUCAGGAUCCCACUCCUCAGUGCACCUUCAGAGAAGAGACCCUCCCGUCUCCCUGGUCCGCACUUCACCCUCACUCAGCCUGUGACCAAGCAUUUCUAUCUCUGGUGUGCAGCCCCAUUUGGAGUCUCCAAACCCAGCAGAUUCCUGCAGUGUGCUCCCAUGCCUCCUGAAGGAGGAAAGUGAGUCUCCCUGGAUCUACCAAUUGUGGCAUUCCUGCUGGAAGAGCAGUGGUCUGACUGUGCCAUGGUUCACGGUUUAAGCAUAAUCUUCUCCAGUCCCAUUCACGUUAAUGACAUUGGCCACACCAACUUCUUUCAAGACAUCUCUCCAAAAGCAAAGGAAACAAAAGCUAAAAUGAACUUUUGGGACUUCAGCAAGAUAAAAAAAACUUCUGCACAGCAAAGGAAAUAGUCAACAAAGCAAAGAGGCAACGCACGGAAUGGGAGAAGAUAUUCACAAAUGAUAUUAAAGACAAAGGGCUGAUAUCCAAGAUCUGUAAAGAACUUCUCAAACUCAACACCCAAAAAGUAGAUAAUCAUGUCAAAAGAUGGGCAGAAGACAUGAACAGACACUUCUCCAAUGAAGACAUACAAAUGGCUAGCAAACACAUGAAAAAUGUUCAUCAUCAUUGGCCAUCACGGACAUUCAAAUCAAAACCACAUUGAGAUACCCUUACACCAGUUAGAAUGGCAAAGAAUUACAAGGCAGGAAAAAACAAAGGCUGGAGAGGAUGGGGAGAAUGGGGAACCCUCUUAUUACUGUUGGUGCAGCUACUUUGGAAAACAGUGUGGAGAUUGCUCAAAAAAUUUAAAAUAGAGCUACCUUAUGACCUGGCAAUUGCACUAAUGAGUAUUUACCCAAAGACGCAGAUAUAGUGAAAAGAAGGGCAAUAUAUGCCCUAAUGUUCAUAGCAGCAAGGCCCACAAUAGCCAAACUGUGGAAGGAGCUGAGAUACCGUUCAACAGAAGAAUGGAUAAAGAAGUUGUGGUCCAUAUAUACAACAGAAUAUUACUCAGCCAUCAGAAAGGAUAACAGCUGGAUCAUUUUAUGACUUAGUCACCCUCUGGUCCAUCAUCCCACCCUUGGGUCUAUUCAGACAAGAACAAAAUAUCUCAGGAAUUUUUGCAGUCAUAACUAUCAUGGCUUUUUGGGAGAUUUCCCUGAGAUGAAUGCCCAUGGGAAACCAUAGAUGAAGCUUAACCAAUAUUUGAACACUUACUGCCUGGGAUUGGAUUGACAGUGCUGAUGCAAGUGAUCCAUUGGAGAAUGAGGAACUGACCUAAAGAAUUCUACUUAAAUUCUUAUGGUCAGUUGUCAGCCCUGGAAAACUUACACUGGAACUAGAUGAAGUUCUAAGAGAUAUUAUUUUGAUAUGGACUAGCAAAUGCCCCAGAUUGAAGUAGACUCUUUAAAAAAAAAAGAGUUCUUGCUGUGUGAACCAAGCCCAAGUCAGCCAAAGGGUGAAAACCCAGUAAAACCAGCCAGAAAAUAAUGUGGUGUAGCUACUGAGUCAAGGGGUUCCCAAGGCUGAAAUAGAUGGUAUCAACCAUGAGGAUCUUCACUCCAGGUAAAUUGUUGAACUGGCCAAGAAAACAUUCCAAGCUCAUUUGGUUGAGCCAUGAGCAGACACCACACUGUUUGAAAGUAAAAAUAACUGUAAAUCCUUAUUGGCCUGGAGAGGCUCUUUCCUUCUUUGCCUCCUUGAGCCCUUCCUCCACCCUCUCUUCUUGCUUCAGCUGCUGAUAGUACAGAUACUGUAUGGACCUUCCAUGCUCCUUAGAUAACUAGCAUUGACUCAAAAUCCACAGAUCCACAGAUAUCUAGCACUGACUCAAAAAAAUUCUGACUCUGCCUCCUUCACCUUCUGCUAGUCCACACACAUGAGGAAGGCAGUUUGGCCACUGAAUGCAGCUGUCCUUAGAAAGGGAUCACUUCUUCAUAGCUGCUUUCUAGGUAAUGAUGAGGACACAAGGGAUGGGAGGUGAUACGGGCUUAUUUUGAAUAUCUGAGAUUUCUCCCUGACCAUUCUUGGGCAUGGUAUGUCUUUCUUUUCCCUAACAGCAACCCCAGGACAAACAUGGUUAGCACACCCUCUAGAUGGCAGCUCAAUCAAAAUGGGGCUGGGGAGAUUCAGACUUAAUUCUGGUUCAGUCACCUGAUUCUCUGGUUGGAUCAGUAUGGUCCCAGAUCAUAAAGAUAGUUGUCACUUGGUUGAGUAAUCAUCACCAAAUUCCCCCAUGUUGCCUACACAGGCCAAAGUGGGAGCUAUUAUGGGUCUGUAUAACUUUUAUUAAAAUGUCCAAAUUAUCCUUGAAUCUUUUUUUAAAGAAAGGCUCCAGGCCCGGUGUGGAGCCCAACAUAGGGCUUGAACUCACCACCCUGAGAUCAGAUCAAGAAUCUGACAACUGACUGAGCUACCCAGAUGCCCCACUCUUGCACUUUUUUUUUUUUUUUUUUUUUUUUUAAUAAAAGGUCUGGGUGUGAUUAGGGGAUAUUGAAGAAAAGUUGAAGUUAUCAACACUGAAAGUGGAUAUUGUGAUUUUUAGGCAAUUUUUAGGUAUUUGACAUCAAUCCAUCUUAUUUACAAAUGGGUUAAAGCGUUCCAUCAAGUAAACUUAGGAUAAUCCUAUUCCUCUCUACCCGUAAAAUAAGAACUAAUGAAGAACUAAGGUAAUGUUUGGUGUCCUUCACAGCUUCCUCCCCACCUGCAAGCUUGCCCAUGCUCUUUAAACAGCCCUCCCCCAGGGGUCAAAUGACCUCAAUGGAUUCCUCCAGACUCUGCUUCCUACUCUCUCUUGUGACAUCCUAUCUUACACCUCAGUCUGUUUUUUCUCUUUGUCCACCUUAGUUGUAGUGGCCAUUGUUGGUUGGUAUCUGGUAUCCAUUCUUAUCCAUUUCUCCUACCUCCAGUAUGAGUCCCUGUUGGGGACUCAUGUGGGAAACCAACACCAUUCAGACAUUCACUUAUUUCAAAGCAGUCAGGGGAUGCUAACCCCAUCCCCAUCUUCAGAGGUGGCACUGAUUGGUCUACGAGCAGCCCAUUCUUUCUUUUUGCCAAUAGAUCAAUUCCAGCCAAUGAGAUGCUAGAGGAAAUGUGAGGAGGAGCUUCUCAGAAAAGUUAGCUUUCUCUCAUAAAAGAAGGCCACAGAAAGAAACACAUCCUAUUUCUAGUUGUGAUGUUUGGAGUUUCUGUAGCGAUUUGAUCCCAGCCUGAAAAUGAAGCCACCAUUCAAGAUGGUAGAACAGAGAGAGGAUAAUAAUGUUAUAGUGCGUAGCCAACUGUGAAGCCCACCCUCCCUUUGGGAGAUAAUGUAUUUCCUAAAUAUAUAAGUCUGCUUGAGUAUUUGAUUCUGUUACUUGUUACCAUACACUGAGUUAAGUAACUACAUGAAUUCUUCUAAGUACCUUAAAUGAAUUCAUGUAAUUAAGGUUUGUAACAAAUCUAUGGGUUUAUUAUCUCCUACCUUUGGAAGAUAAGGAAACUAAGAUACAGAGAGCUUAACUGCCCUGCGGAGGUGACACAGCUACUUAAGUGACACAGCUAGGAUUGGAAACCAGAUCAGGCUCAGAAUCUACAGACAACCACUACUCUAUCACCUCUCACUAUUUCGUUACUCAUAACCUAAAGCCUUUCAACCAAUACUAACUAUACCUUGCUUUUAAGACUGCUGAUACUGACUACACCUUAUUUUUUAAAGACUUUUAAGAUACCUUGCUUGUUAAGACAACCAAUACUAACUACACCUUCAUUUUUAAGACUCAGCUGACUCUUGGGCUUUGGACCUCCAAGCCCUUCGGCUUCCAAGCCCACAGCAGCAAGCUAGCUUCACCUUCCCAUGUCCACCUGCAGGGCCCACUGCUUGCCCCGAAGAGGAGAUUGAACAUUAACAUCUAACUUCAUUUCCUAUUUGGCCACCUAGGAAGGCAGCCAAAAGUUAACAUGUGAGCUCUGGUUUAACAUUCUGUUUAUUUUAAGCACCUUGAUGUGAACAACUGGUUCAAAGGCCAUCUACUGUAUGGACCAAAUAAUGCCUUUUAGGAGAGACCCUUUGCGCUUAUGAUCUGGCUGGCAAUAACUGGGAGAUCUUAUCUUUGCCCUGUCCCCGUUGAGGAAAUAGAUAAGCAGCUCCUCAAGCCUGUCUCAGGGGAACACACACACACACACACACACACACACACCACAGUUACUCCCCAUAUAUGACAUGGGGCAGGUGGGGAUAUAAUUACCAGACAACAAUUACCCCUUUUCGUCAGCUCUUUGUCCUGGGAAGUUCCUUCCCCUCUCCCCACUGACAGUUCUUGGCUGUGAUCAAGGGGAAAUAUGGAUUGUACUGGAUAGUUCUGCAGCCCAUUGCCCUUGCCAACCCCACCUCUUUCCACCAAUACUAUUGAUAACCUAUCAGAAAAAUUACCAGAUUUAUUUUUUAAAAUCAUCAAAGAAACUAGGGCAGAGGUAAAAAACAUUCUAAGUCUGGGGCAUGGUUCUGUUUGGUUUAGUCAGGAGGGCACUAUUGCUUAACAUUUUUGUAGUAGAAAUAUCAAGUAACUCACUUUCAAGUUUUUCUCAAUCACAAGGUGUGUAAACUUGAAUAAAAUGGACAUAUGAAGAUGCCACAUUUGAGGGGUCAUAAAAUAUUAUAGAAUCUCCUUAGAUCUAUACUUGGAAGACUUGGUUUUUUUCUCCUAAAAGUUUUUGUAUUAUAAACAUCUGAAGCCUCCUUUAAAAAAAGAUCUUAAAUGAAGCAGAUGGUUCAAACUGAUCUGAGUUUAGAGCUCAAAAAACUAGAACGUCUCUUUUCUAACUCACACUGGGCUUUGAAGAUAAAGGUCAGAGAAGUCCCCUGUUCACAUGGAUAGUUAAAGAGAAGAAUGCUCAGAGAGGGUUGGGAUUUUUCUUUGUGUGCACCAUGGAAGAAAUUAUUUAUUUCACACUUAAGAAAUUCAAAUAUUCUUGGGGUGGCUUAGCUGGUUAGGCAUCUGCCUCUUGAUUUCCACUCAGGUCGUGAUCUCUGGGUCACAAUCUCUGGGUGCGGGGAACGAGCCCUGCAUGGACCUCCACGCUCAGCGGGGAGUUUGCGGGAGAUCCUCUCUCCCUCUGCCCAUCCCCCGCUCAUACAUGCAUGCAUGUGCUCUGUCUCUCAAAUAAAUAAAUAAAAUCUUUAAAAGAAAUUUUUAAGAAAUCCAAGUAUUCUUUUCUCUAGACUGGAGAGAGAGAGAGAGAGACAGAGAGAGAUAUGAUAAUAGGUAUCAAGAAAAAAGGUGGAGGGUAACAGCAAUGAAAGACUCUGGAUUCUAUUAGAAUGCUUUGCUAUCUGGGAGGCUGCCUGGUUUCUUAAAAGAAUAAUUCACUACCCAGGAGAUGGUCAGGAUGAUGUGUUUGUCUUUUGGAAUAUACUAAUCCUUAUUUUAGAUAACAAGCACUUAUUUAAGUAUUCUUUUAAUAAUAUUAUUUUUAGUAUGGUAUACAUGAUACAAUAUUUUUUUCUGAUUUUAAAAGCAACAUAUGUUUCAUGUAAAGAAUAAAAAGACACUUCUCCUAGUACAUUCAAACAUAAAUAUUUUUGAGAUCCUACUAUAUGUGUAUACUAGGAAUGCAAUACCAAACAAAAAUGGACUUCAUCUCUGCUCUUUUGGACUUCAGAACUGAAUGGAAAGUGCACAGAAGAAAAGGCAUUUAUUUAUUCUUUCAGAAAAAUAUUUAUCGAGUCUUUCUUUUCAUAGCCAAGUGAAAAUUGCCUGUUAUAGUGGUAUUUAUACUUUGCUCUUACACUUUGAUAAGUAGUCAGACAAAAGGUGGGAAGAUAAUAGAUACAUACAUACAUACAUACUUAGAUAUAGAAUGUCAUAUUAAACACUUCCUGAAUGAGUGCAUUGCUGAGUUAAUAUAAAUUGUGCCAUAAACUCAAAAUGAAAAUACACUCAUAUUAGUAUUAUUUUUUCCAAGUAAUUCCCUAACCACUGAAUAAGCCAGAAGUCUAGGAGCUUCCCCUGGAGGAUUCUCUCUUUUUCUGAGCAGCCCAACUGGCCAGGUGUUUCCAAGAUCUUAAAGGGAGGGUCUGUAUGAUUUCCAGCUAAGACUCCAGACAGUCAUCUCACACUACCCUCCAACACAGAAGUGAGGUCUUCAUGAUCUCCCAGUCAAUGCUUAUCUGCAGCUGACCUCAUGCCUCAGUGACCCAGGUCAUGAUACACCAUUUGCUCAGUUCCCUUAGGAAGUAUGAAACGACCCUCAGAGCCAAGGAUAGUCCAUGUUACUGUCUCCUGCACUCCAAGCGUUGUAGAAUGUACAGCACAACAUUUUCAGCUUAGAUAGCCUGUGGCAUCAGCCAGCCCUAGAGGAAUGGCAUUAGACUGAGCCCUGAACCCCUGACCUUCCUCUUGGCCCGCCUAAGUGACUGUCUCAGCACAUAGUAAGAAAUACAUUCACUCAACCCAAUGGGUGCACACACAUGCACACCCACACAUGCUUAUAGAUGAAUCUGAAACAAAAGCUUUACAGAACUUGCCCGUAUUA